rfam:Roseomonas rosea strain DSM 14916 genome assembly, contig: EJ99DRAFT_scaffold00015.15
GCUGCCGUAGCUCAGUGGUAGAGCACUCCCUUGGUAAGGGAGAGGUCGAGAGUUCAAUCCUCUCUGGCAGCA